AUGUUGCUUUUUCGGAGCUAUCUGCAUAAUUGCUUAAAGAUUUUACUGCAAAAUUAAUAUCCUUGCUGUGAACAAGGGAACAGGGCAAAAACCAGGAUGACAGAGCCUGAGAUGAGGUGAAAAGCAAAUCCAAUUUUUCCUUGCACCAUAGAAACCUCGUCAGGACUAGCUUUAUCUGGUAAUCCACAUUUAAACUUUAACCUGUAGGGGGGCUCUUUGUGUUAGAUAAUGUAAGCAUAAAAGGAAGCUGAAUCACUAAUCAGAUUAAUCAUAUUUUGUAAGACUCAAAAGCUUCAUUAAAACGACCUGGUUUCCAAGUUACACAUUUUUGUUGUUGUUGUUGUUGACAGAGGAGCAGUUUAACAUAUAAAAGGGAUAACAGAAAUAUUCAAAUGCAACUUUUAAUGAACCUGUAGCAAACAAGAGCAAAGGGAGGAAAUUAUUUGCAAUGCUUUAAUUGAAAAUAAAGCAAAAAACAAAACAACGGAAAACCUACAUGACUGCUUCCUAGGAAUAAAUCCCCCUUUGGAAUAGAGAGCAGCUGUGGAGACAUCUGUGGGCUGAACAGAGUCCUAAAAGAACAAUUGCGCCUGCAUCUGUGGAGAUAAAAUACACAGGAAAGGAAUUGUUCCUCAAGAUGGAUUAUACCCAGAAGCUUUCCCACACGUAAUUUAGUCUGUGGUAAGAUUGAGGACUUUUGAGUUCCUGGGACUCAGGCGAGAUUUUUGGACUAAGUUGAUGUUAUAGGUUGAGAUCUUUUUAGACUUCAGGAUUGG
rnacentral:lncRNA from 1 species